UCGCCGCCUUGGCCAGCAGACAGGAGCUGACACCCCAGGGCCCGGGCGCCCUCGGACGAGGCGGGGGCCCAGAAAAUCAUGUCACUCAUGGCAACACCACACGUGGGACUACUAGAAAUAUGACUAAGUUGGAUCUUGGCCUCCCCUGCGUGUGCAGUUUACACAGUCAUGAAGGCACUUCAGUGCAGUGGAGGAUGGAGGUAAAGAUCACUGCAAUGAAAUAAAGAU